rnacentral:tRNA from 1 species
AGGGGUUUAGCUCCAGCGGUAGAGCGAGCGACUCCAAAUCGCUAGGUCGUGGGUUCGAAUCCCCCAGCCCCUGCCA